rnacentral:rRNA from 1 species
GUACAUGAUUAUAACAUAGAUUUAAUGCAUCAGAUCCCAUUAGAACUUUGCAGUUAAGCGUACUCGAGGUAGAGUAGUACUGGUAUGGGUGACGAAUUGAGAAGUCCUAGUAUUUUACAUG